GAUGAACGCUGGCGGCGUGCCUAACACAUGCAAGUCGAACGAAGCACUUUGAUUGAUUCUUCGGAUGAAUGAUGAGUGACUGAGUGGCGGACGGGUGAGUAACGCGUGGGUAACCUGCCUCAUACAGGGGGAUAACAGUUAGAAAUGACUGCUAAUACCGCAUAAGCGCACGGAGCUGCAUGGCUCAGUGUGAAAAACUCCGGUGGUAUGAGAUGGACCCGCGUCUGAUUAGCUAGUUGGUAAGGUAACGGCUUACCAAGGCGACGAUCAGUAGCCGACCUGAGAGGGUGACCGGCCACAUUGGGACUGAGACACGGCCCAAACUCCUACGGGAGGCAGCAGUGGGAAUAUUGCACAAUGGGGGAAACCCUGAUGCAGCAAACGCCGCGUGAUUGAAGAAGUAUUUCGGUAUGUAAAGAUCUAUCAGCAAGGAGAAAAUGACGGUACUUGACUAAGAA
rnacentral:rRNA from 1 species